UAAUAAGUGUUUGUGGCACUUCUUAAAUCCAUAUCCACCUUGUGUGCAAUGUCAGCCGUUUUCUUUAUGAAAGCGGCCAAACAUCAACUUAUUUUUUAGCUGUCUGUCUGAAAACUAUUAUGAAUAAACAAUUCAAAUA
rnacentral:misc_RNA from 1 species